rnacentral:ncRNA from 1 species
AGGACCGGAAUGGACGAACCACUAGUGUUCCUGUUGUCACGCCAGUGGCAUCGCAGGGUAGCUACGUUCGGAAAGGAUAACCGCUGAAAGCAUCUAAGCGGGAAGCCCACCUCAAGACAAGAUCUCCCUGGGGGUUUACCCCCCUGAAGGUCCGUUGGAGACUACAACGUUGAUAGGCCGGGUGUGUAAGCACAGUAAUGUGUUCAGCUUACCGGUACUAAUUGACCGUGAGGCUUGACCAU